GUCACAAUGGAGGGGUUACUUUAUAUAUUUAUUCAUGAUAUCAUAUAGCAGGGGUCUCAGACUUCUGACCUGUGGGCCAUCUGUGACCUGAGCACUCCCCCAAUAUGGCCUGCAAAAUAUUUUGAAAAAGUUAUUUAAUCAGGCCCAUGCAGCUAUCAGCCCAGGGUGGGGGACAGGUGACGCACACGGCUCCCAGCAGCACCCAACCACCACCCAGUGCCCACAUAAUCCUGGUUGCAGAGGGCACUGCUUGGUCCAAGAAGCCACACUGGCUGCCUCAGUCACAAUAAGAACUACUUUGGCCGGGGAGCCACCUGAGCUGAUGCACUUCUGAAACCAGCAGGGCAGGGCCAGUGGGUUUUGCUUUCUGUUACUCCGGGUGGGAAUGGGGAGAAUAUCAGCGCAAUGGUACGGAAGUUAGCAGAGGCAGAGGGACAUACCAGCAUAAGGACAGGGGAGUGUUAAUAUAUCCCAUGUCAACUUCUCAUAUCUAGACCUCUCAGAAGAUCAAUUUAGGAGCAACACACCCAGUCCGCCUACUCAUUUUUUACUAGCAAGGUGCAGCUGAAAGUCCUGUUGAAAUGCGCUGAAACACUGUCUGGAGAACUAAAAGACAGCUAGCCCCAGCUUUAUCUGUUGUGCUGAAGCCCAUUCUGGAUACAUGACUUUUUGCAAUUUGCACUAUUUUUUCCUUUUAGUGCAUUAAUAAUUAACAAACCAAUAUAAACUUCAGAAGGGGUUGUUUCCUUUGGAAAUAAGCAAUAUAUAUUUUAAUUUUCAUAUUUAUUAUAAAUAUUUUUAAUUUCCGCUGUUAGAAUGGAAAUACCUGUUCCUGCUGCAAGCUAUUAUCGUUGUGCUUUUAUUUCAUUUUAUGUACUGAUUGCUGCCAUUGUUUUGUACAUAAUUGUAGUUUUACUUUGGACUUGACAGUAUCAUAUUAUUUAUCUUUAUUUAUAAAAACACAGUUCAGAAUUCCUUUUUUAUUCAACUGUAACUCUUGCUUGAUAUGUCUGUAUCACAAAACCAUUUUUUCAAGUUGCUUAUACUUUUUAAUUGUGUACCAAGAAUACCCCUACUUUCCAUAAGAUGAUAGGCUCCUUUAUGGUUGAUGUAAUUAUUUUAAGAGCAUUAUUAAAAUAUACAAAUCUUAUAAUUCAGUGAACAACAUUUUAAAACCUAGCAACUUAUUUACUCUUUGGAAGUUCAACUUUUUUUCUUUACUUUUAA